AACGAACGCUGGUGGCAUGCCUAACACAUGCAAGUCGAACGAGACCAUCGGGUCUAGUGGCGCACGGGUGCGUAACGCGUGGGAACCUGCCCUUAGGUUCGGAAUAACUCCCCGAAAGGGGUGCUAAUACCGGAUAAUGUCUUCGGACCAAAGAUUUAUCGCCUUUGGAUGGGCCCGCGUUGGAUUAGCUAGUUGGUAGGGUAAAAGCCUACCAAGGCGACGAUCCAUAGCUGGUCUGAGAGGAUGAUCAGCCACACUGGGACUGAGACACGGCCCAGACUCCUACGGGAGGCAGCAGUGGGGAAUAUUGGACAAUGGGCGAAAGCCUGAUCCAGCAAUGCCGCGUGAGUGAUGAAGGCCUUAGGGUUGUAAAGCUCUUUUACCCGGGAUGAUAAUGACAGUACCGGGAGAAUAAGCUCCGGCUAACUCCGUG
rnacentral:rRNA from 1 species